UGCCGCGUGAAGGAUGAAGGCCCUAUGGGUCGUAAACUUCUUUUAUCAGGGAAGAAAAAAUGGGAUGCGUCCUAUACUGACGGUACUUGAUGAAUAAGGAUCGGCUAACUUCGUGCCAGCAGCCGCGGUAAGACGAAGGAUCCAAGCGUUGUCCGGAUUUACUGGGUUUAAAGGGUGCGUAGGCGGAAAAUUAAGUCAGUGGUGAAAGCCCGCAGCUCAACUGUGGAACUGCCAUUGAAACUGAUUUUCUUGAAUAUAGCUGAGGCAGAUGGAAUAUAACAUGUAGCGGUGAAAUGCUUAGAUAUGUUAUAGAACACCGAUUGCGAAGGCAGUCUGCUAAACUAUUAUUGACGCUGAGGCACGAAAGCGUGGGGAGCGAACAGGAUUAGAUACCCUGGUAGUCCACGCCCUAAACGUUGAUUACUCGCUGUUGGCGAUAUACUGUCAGUGGCUAAGCGAAAGCAUUAAGUAAUCCACCUGGGAAGUACGACCGCAAGGUUGAAACUCAAA
rnacentral:rRNA from 1 species